CAUCCUCCAUAGCAGUCAUACAGCUACUCCUGCUUUGGACUUCCUCAGGUACUGGACAAAAUUGGACACACGACCUCCAAUCUUGGUUGUUCUUCCCCUGCUGCAUACCCAGACGCCUUGGAUUGACGGCUCCUGUAGAUAUCUGAGAUAUGGAGUCAAGUACAGCACUUAAAAGCAUCACUUCAGGACAGCAAAACUGUAGGGUCUUCGCAUGCCUGAUAAGGCUUUGGGAUGCUAAAAUAAUUAAUCCCAGAUAUGGAGAUGGCUUGCUAAGCAUUGAUGGCAUUCUCUUAGAUGAAGAUGGCAACAUGGCACAGAUGAGUGUGCCCAGAAAAUUUGAAAAACAGUUUCAUGGAUUGCUAUCAGAAGGAUCUGUCUACAUUAUUGCAGAUAUUGUAGCUAUUGGUAACAGAAGCAAAUCAUAUGCCUACCACCAUCAGAACUACAUGCUGCAAUUCAAACAUGACACAAAGGUCCAUGCAUUGCACUCAAGAGGAGCAAAUAUACCUACUGUUUCCUUCAACUUUUGUCCAUUUGAUCAACUGCUAAGAAAAGCAAUUGAUUCAAAACCACUCCUAGAUAUUAUUGGAGUAAUAAGUGAUGUUGGUCCAUACGAUUAUGCUAGCCCAACAUCUCAGAACAAACUUCGGAAGAAAAAAAUUCGAAACCUAGAUGAACAAACGCAAGAAGUAGUUCUACGGGGCAAACAUGGAGAAUCAUUUGAUGAAGAAGCAGUACUUAAAAAAUCUCUAGAAGGAAUUGUGAUAGCUAUUUUUGCUGCUACAACUGCAACUUCAUAGAAGUUUACAGGUACAAUACAAGGAUCUUCAAGUUCUGCAACACAGGUGUAUCUUGACCUCAAUAUACCUGAAGUUCAACAGUAUCGCAGCAGCUACCAAUGGAAAUUUCCAACUCUACAAAAGAAUCUCCCUAAAGUCGGACAUCUAUCUCCACUUGAAGUAGCAGGCAAGCUGUAUACCACUGAACAAAUAUCUACCUUGCCAACCACAUCUUUUCAGGGAGGAGCAACAUUCAGUAGUAUUGCAAAAGUGACAUCCAUUAUACCAUCAGACAAAUGAUACUACAAAGCAUGCAAGCGUUGUGGAAAAGGUUACAACAACAUGUCAGAUACCCCAACAUGCGCCUGCCAAUUUCCUGUUCCAUGCCCAAUGUACCAUAGAUCUUCCUAAAUCUAAUCAUUAUAAAUUGUUUUUCUCUUAUUCAUGUCACUAACAAGUCUACAAUCCUUCAGGUAUAAGCUCCCCCUUACACUAAUAGAUAGCUCAGCAAGUUUGGAUGCAGUUGCGUUUAAUAAAAUAGCUGAAGACUUGGUUGAGUGUCAUGCUGAGCAAGUUUCUAUGAACAUGAAAAUAGAUGUUGUGGAUCAUGUGCUUUCCCUAGAUAAAGCCAUUGGUAAAGAAAGGUUAUUCUAUAUAGGAAUGAAUAUUGAUUUAGCUACCAAGUACCCUAUAAAAUAUGUCCUGAAAAAAAGUUUCCCCGUGGACAAUACCAAAUCGGUUCCUCUGUUAACUGCUUCAAAGGUAACAACUUUUUGAUACUCAUUACCUUCAUAUAUCAUCCUAUUAACUUGACAUGUGAAGCUUUUUCAGUCAGCACAAGAUAACCUUGCACCAACUUCAUUUGUCAUAAAUGAUGAGGGGUUCCUGGCCAUUUAUCAAUUUAAAUUCUGAAAAUAUAUUGACAAAACAUUAAAUACAUAUUUUCUGAUGAGCAUUAUCUAUAUUUUUUUGAGUCCAAGUGCACAACAGCCAGAGGCCCCCUUCAAUAGUACACCUCCAAGUGAUAACCGCACACCUAUCAGCCUAUCACUACAAAGGAAAGUGAAUCCAGCUCAAAAAGCACAGAUAGUCCUCUUUCGGAAAGGCAAAAGCAAAGCGAGAGUAUGUAUUACAUCCCAUUACCUAUAGUUAAAUAUCUCGCCAAUGAAUUUUUAUGUUCAUAUAUUUACAAUUCUAAAUAUUUUCUGUACCCACCAAUGCAGACAAUAAAAAUGCAGCAAACAACUAAGAAAAGACAGGCUAAAAUGAAAGUGCAUACAAAGGAAACUUCCACAAUGCUCAUACAGGCAGCUUCCACAAUGCCCAUACAGCCAACUUUCGCAGUGCUCCAAACGACAAAUAAUCAAGAAUGUUCAACUUCCACAGUGCUUUGACACUGCCAGCUGACAACAAUAAAUUUUUUUCUUGCUCAACUUCUAUUGUGACCGAGAAUGUUCUCAUACCCAGUACCUUUAUAUUGUAACUGAGAUGUCUACUCGUGUGUACUUUUGGUUCUAUGCAAGCGACUUCAGAGUUUUCUGACAAUAUUUGCAAUUUUGUGCUUAUCAACAAUGGAUACACUCCUAUAAAUGGGCCAUAAUAUUUUUUUUUGUAAACUGUAUAAUCGUGCAUGCAUGUAAAAUAUU